UCCCAGGUGGCUCAGUGGUAAAGGGUCUGCCUGGCGAGCAGGAGAUGCAGGUUCUAUUCCUAGGUUGGGAA
rnacentral:tRNA from 1 species